rnacentral:rRNA from 1 species
CCCUUAGAUGUUCUGGGCCGCACGCGCGCUACACUGAUGCAUUCAACGAGUCUAAAACCUGCUCUGAUAGGGGUGGGUAAUCUUUUGAAUGUGCAUCGUGAUUGGGAUAGAUGAUUGCAAUUUUUCAUCUUCAACGAGGGAUGCCUAGUAAACGCAAGUCAUCAGCUUGCAUUGAUUACGUCCCUGCCCUUUGUACACACCGCCCGUCGCUCCUACCGAUUGAAUGAUCCGAUGAAUAUCAUGGAUUGAGGAUUAUAGCAGGUUCGCCUGUCUUGAUCUUCGAGAAGUGAAGUAAAUCUUAUCAUUUAGAGGAAGGAGAAGUCGUAACA